rnacentral:rRNA from 1 species
AAUAAAAUUAGAUUUAAUAAUAAAAAAAUUUUUAAUAAAAUAUUUUAAAGGGGGUAGUUAAAGUAUAUUUAUAGAAAAAAUAAUUUAAUUUAUAGUUAAAUAGUAUUGUGAAAGAAUUUUGAAAUAAUUGAAAUAAAAAAUUAUUAAAAAGUAAUUUUUAUUUAAUGUAUCUUGGGUAUCAGAGUUUAUUUAAAAAAAUUUAUAAAAAAAAAAUUCUCGAAUUUAAAAGAGAUAAUUAAUUAAUAAAGUUAUUGUAGCAUAAAUAUUUUAAAUAAUUAAUUUGAAAUGAAAUGUUAAUCGUUUUUAAAUAUAUCUAGUUUUUUUAGAAAAAAAUUUAAUUUUAUAUUAUUUUAUAAAAAAAUUAAUUAAUUAAUUUUUUUAUAAAAUAAUAAUAUAUUUUAAGGGAUAAGCUUUAAUUUAAAUUUAUAUAAAUAAUAAAUUAAAUAUAAUUGAAAAUUUUAUGAUUUAUAUUGUUAAAAAAUUUUAAUUUAUUAUAAAUAAUUUCAUUUAAAAUAAAAUUUAAUAAAAUUUUAUAUUUUUAUAAAAAAAAAUUUUUUAAUAAAAUAAAAUUUGAUAUAAUGAUAAAAUUAGUAUAUAAAUAGUUAUAUAUAUAUAUAUAUAUUAUAAUUAAUUAAAAGGAAUUCGGCAAAAAGUUAUAUUCACUUGUUUAUCAAAAACAUGUCUUUUUGAAAAUAAUAUAAAGUCUAAUCUGCCCACUGAUUUAAUAUUAAAGGGCUGCAGUAUAUUGACUGUACAAAGGUAGCAUAAUCAUUAGUCAUUUAAUUGAUGACUUGUAUGAAAGAUUGGAUGAAAUAUAAGCUGUCUCUUAAUUAAAUAUAGAAUUUAAUUUUUUAAUUAAAAAGUUAAAAUAAAUUAAAAAGACGAGAAGACCCUAUAGAGUUUUAUAAAUUUAUUAAUUAAGGUUAUUUAUAAUAAAGAAAAAUUAAAAUUAAUAAGUUUAUUUUGUUGGGGUGACAAAAAAAUAUGAAAAACUUUUUUUAUAAUAAACCAUAUAUAAAUGAUUAAAUGAUCCAUUAAUAAUGAUUAAAAGAAAAAAUUACCUUAGGGAUAACAGCGUAAUUUUUUUUUUUAGUUCUUAUAAAAAGAAAAGUUUGCGACCUCGAUGUUGGAUUAAGAUAAAAUUUAAAUGCAGUAGUUUAAAAUUUUUGAUCUGUUCGAUCAUUAAAAUCUUACAUGAUCUGAGUUCAAACCGGUGUAAGCCAGGUUGGUUUCUAUCUUUUAAUAAUUAAAAUAUUUUAGUACGAAAGGAUUAAAUAUUUAAAUUAAAUUUUAAGUUAUGAAUUUCAUUAAAAGU